AGUCAUUAGGGUUCGAGGUGGGGGAAGCAAUGGACCACCCCCACCUUUGUGGAGCCCAUUUUCUCCUUUGAUGGUUACCAGGCCCCCACUCAGCUCUCUCUCCUACCCUUUGUGCUGUGCCUGCAGCCCCCGUGCCCAAGAAUACCAAGCAACUGGCUCUGGCCCCCUGCCCAGUUCCCAGGCUGGCUGGGUGGUGGGGGGAGGGGACUUUAGAUGCGGCUUUGGGAGAAUGGCAAAAGGGGACUGCCCCCCCUUCUCGUAUCGUAUCAACAUCCUACUGGCACUACCUUCAGCAUGGUCUGAUGAGAUCAGCAAGGCCAGAUCUCACCUAGGCUUUCACCCUAUCCCUCUUUCAUGAUCCUUAGGUGAGAAGUAGAGAACAUUCAAGGCCUUCCUUCCACUAAGAUAGGAACUGUGGCUAAGACAGAAGAAAGAAGGUCAGAUGUUUGAAUGGACUUUCUGGAUUUGAUAAAAUGUGACACUAGUGGUAAGCUCAAAAAUGGAACUUAUUUCCACAAUGAGUAUCUAUUUCCUUUUAGUCAGAAAAGUAAAGCAUGUUUUAAAAAGUAAAUUGUAUCAUAAACACUCUGUAUGCGACUAGACCAAGGGGUGGGCAAGCAGCAAGAUGACCUUGUCCCUGACGGAGGCUGCCUGCAAAUCACCCCAGCAUUAGGCUGGGAAUGUGGCAGAUCAAAGGGGCUUGGUUGACACAUUCACAUUUUCCUUCUUGCUCUACUGCAGGGGAACUGAGAUUGGCAUGGUGGUCACAAAAUAAGAGAUACAGACCCAGAAGUCCCCAUUCCCAGCCC
rnacentral:lncRNA from 1 species